rnacentral:rRNA from 1 species
GACGAACGCUGGCGGCGUGCCUAACACAUGCAAGUCGAACGGAGAUUUCAGCAAUGAAAUCUUAGUGGCGAACGGGUGAGUAACGCGUAGACAACCUACCUUCUAGAUGGGGACAACACUGCGAAAGUGGUGCUAAUACCGAAUGUUGUAUUUUGGAUGCAUAUUCGAACUACUAAAGGUGGCCUCUAUUUACAAGCUACCACUAGAAGAUGGGUCUGCGUCUGAUUAGCUAGUUGGUGAGGUAAUGGCUCACCAAGGCGACGAUCAGUAGCCGGUCUGAGAGGAUGAACGGCCACACUGGGACUGAGACACGGCCCAGACUCCUACGGGAGGCAGCAGUGGGGAAUCUUCCGCAAUGGACGAAAGUCUGACGGAGCAACGCCGCGUGAGUGAAGAAGGUUUUCGGAUCGUAAAACUCUGUUUUCAGGGACGAAUGUGCCGAUUGUAAAUAAUGGUUGGUAAUGACGGUACCUGACAAGAAAGCCACGGCUAACUACGUGCCAGCAGCCGCCGCAGUAA